GCAGUGGCGGGUGCUAUACUGCAGUCGAACGCUUUUUCUUUCACCGGAGCUUGCUCCACCGAAAGAAAAAGAGUGGCGAACGGGUGAGUAACACGUGGGUAACCUGCCCAUCAGAAGGGGAUAACACUUGGAAACAGGUGCUAAUACCGUAUAACACUAUUUUCCGCAUGGAAGAAAGUUGAAAGGCGCUUUUGCGUCACUGAUGGAUGGACCCGCGGUGCAUUAGCUAGUUGGUGAGGUAACGGCUCACCAAGGCCACGAUGCAUAGCCGACCUGAGAGGGUGAUCGGCCACACUGGGACUGAGACACGGCCCAGACUCCUACGGGAGGCAGCAGUAGGGAAUCUUCGGCAAUGGACGAAAGUCUGACCGAGCAACGCCGCGUGAGUGAAGAAGGUUUUCGGAUCGUAAAACUCUGUUGUUAGAGAAGAACAAGGAUGAGAGUAGAACGUUCAUCCCUUGACGGUAUCUAACCAGAAAGCCACGGCUAACUACGUGCCAGCAGCCGCGGUAAUACGUAGGUGGCAAGCGUUGUCCGGAUUUAUUGGGCGUAAAGCGAGCGCAGGCGGUUUCUUAAGUCUGAUGUGAAAGCCCCCGGCUC
rnacentral:rRNA from 1 species